CUAUCGGCAAUUAAUUUUCUUUUUUUUUAAAAAAAAAAAAAAGCAACGGUUAAUUACCAAAUCGUCUUCUCCUCUCACAGCUCCUCUCGUGCAGCUCUCUUCCAAAUCCCAAUUCUUCCCUCUUCCACAACGCCUGUCCUUCCAACUUCCCUUCAAUUAUCGAUUAUUGCUCUCCAUUCUCCAAACGUCUCCUGAUCUCUAAGCUUCUCUAAUCUUUCACUACUUGGUUCGGUGGUGAUCCUGGUAUUGUGUUAGAGUGCAUUUUUUGUUGCACUUCAAGAUGUUUAUGUCCAGCAUGACAAAAGGAUGGACCACUUAUUACAAAACAUGAAGCAUGGAACAAUCCAAAUUUCAAAAGGGUAAAGGAUACAUAAGACUUUAUUUCCAUAUCAGCAUCCCAAAAAACCUGGCUGAUGGAUGGUUAGAUGAUACGGUCUCAAGCUAAUAGCAUCUUUCAUCUCUUGGACAUACGUACUAGCGAUCCCCAGAUACUUAUUUAGCAGCUUUAGCUAAUCUGUGUGAGGUAGUGCGUUCCUUCACUUGACUAUUUUAACUUCUUUACAUUGUUCUCUUCUACAUGGUUCUCUUUUCUAAAACUACUUACCAGUUGGACCGAAAGAUUUUUGUCGUUUUGCUCAUCACUGACAUGUUUAGGGUGCAAGAAACUCGGUUGGUUGGUCGAAGACAAUAGCCUUGCCCACAUCCUGUCAGUAAUUACUACUUUGUUUUGUCUCUCAAUGAUCCGCUGCAAAUGUAGGAGCAACAUAAGAUUGGUCUAUAUUCAGGAACUAGCCCUCUUUCCAUACCAAUAGACGAACGUAACUUUAAGCAACUAUAGGAAAGUAAAGGUUUAGGAUAUUGAGCUUACAUGAAAUGGUAUGUAAGCAUGCCUUCCAUUUACUGGGCCUACUGUAAAUCCAGUAUAUCCUGCCAUUGCGCCGUGAAUGGCACUUUGAGCAAGAAGGGUGCAAAAGAUGUUAUCUGAUGCAAUGCUAGGAACUGCUCGAAUCAUGUACGUUGGAUCUACAAAAGUAAAAAAAAAAAUUUAAAAAUUACAAUAAGUAAUA